GAAGGUGUCAGGUUGUAUUGAGUAGAAGGUGUCGGGUUGUAUUGAGUAGAAGGUGUCAGGUUGUAUUGAGUAGAAGGUGUCGGGUUGUAUUGAGUAGAAGGUGUCAGGUUGUAUUGAGUAGAAGGUGUCAGGUUGUAUUGAGUAGAAGGUGUCGGGUUGUAUUGAGUAGAAGGUGUCAGGUUGUAUUGAGUAGAAGGUGUCGGGUUGUAUUGAGUAGAAGGUGUCGGGUUGUAUUGAGUAGAAGGUGUCGGGUUGUAUUGAGUAGAAGGUGUCAGGUUGUAUUGAGUAGAAGGUGUCGGGUUGUAUUGAGUAGAAGGUGUCAGGUUGUAUUGAGUAGAAGGUGUCGGGUUGUAUUGAGUAGAAGGUGUCAGGUUGUAUUGAGUAGAAGGUGUCAGGUUGUAUUGAGUAGAAGGUGUCGGGUUGUAUUGAGUAGAAGGUGUCAGGUUGUAUUGAGUAGAAGGUGUCAGGUUGUAUUGAGUAGAAGGUGUAGGGUUGUAUUGAGUAGAAGGUGUCAGGUUGUAUUGAGUAGAAGGUGUCAGGUUGUAUUGAGUAGAAGGUGUCAGGUUGUAUUGAGUAGAAGGUGUCAGGUUGUAUUGAGUAGAAGGUGUCAGGUUGUAUUGAGUAGAAGGUGUCGGGUUGUAUUGAGUAGAAGGUGUCAGGUUGUAUUGAGUAGAAGGUGUCGGGUUGUAUUGAGUAGAAGGUGUCAGGUUGUAUUGAGUAGAAGGUGUCAGGUUGUAUUGAGUAGAAGGUGUCAGGUUGUAUUGAGUAGAAGGUGUCAGGUUGUAUUGAGUAGAAGGUGUUGGGUUGUAUUGUGUCGUUUAGGCCUGGGCUCAAACAAGAGUAGUUUUCAUCUCAAGUUCUUGCAGUGUUUGCUUGAACCUGUCUGAAGUCCUUUUGACCACUACAUAUUCCAUAGCCUCUGUUGUACCAGGCACGCUGAAGUAUGUGAACGAAAACAAAUACAAUUUGAACCCAGGUAUGAUAGCGUUCAAGCGUCCUCAGAUUGACUUCACUGUCUAUGAAUAGGAUCGUGUCAUGUAGCUCAUUUGUCUGUUUAUAGUGUUGGAGGGGGGCCGGAGAGACCCACUUCCUGGGGUGUCAUCUCUCCUCUUUCAGCCGACCAAGGAACUAUUCUGAG